ensembl:lncRNA
UUCAGGGCUGUUUUUGGGGUUGUUUUGGGGUUUUUUAGGGUUUUUUUUUCCGGGAUAUUUUUUGGGCAUUUUUGGGGCUGUUUUGGGCUGUUUUCAGGCUGGUUUUUUUUUGGUUUUUGGGCAUUUUUCGGCCUGUUUUGGGCUGUUUUUCGGGCUGUUUUUUUUGUUUUUCGGGCUGUUUUUUUGGGUUUUUCGGGCUGUUUUUCAGACUGUUUUUCGGGCUGUUGUUUUGGUUUCUCCAGGCAUUUUUCAGCCUGUUUUGGGCUGUUUUUUGGGCUGGUUUUUUUUUUGUUUCUCCGGGCUGUUUUGGGGCUCUUUUUCGGGCUGUUUUUUGGUUUUUUCGGCCUGUUUUGGGCUGUUUUUUGGCCUGUUUUGGGCUGUUUUUCGGGCUGUUUUUUUUGUUUUUUCAGCCUGUUUUGGGCUGUUUUUCAGGCUGUUUUUCUGGGCUGUUUUUCAGGCUGUUUUUUUAAUUUCUCUGGGCAUUUUUUGGCCUGUUUCGGGCUGUUUUUUGGGCUGUUUUUUGUUUUUCGGGCUGUUUUUUGUUUCUUCAUGCUGUUUUUUGUUUUUCCGGCUGUUUUUUUGUUUUUUCAUGCUGUUUUUUGUUUUUCCGGCUGUUUUUUGUUUUUUUCAGGCUGUUUUUUGUUUUUCUGGCUGUUUUUUGUUUUUUCUGGCUGUUUUUUGUUUUUCGGGCUGAUAUUUUGAUUUUUCUGGGCAAUUUUUGGCCUGUUUUGGGCUGUUUUUCGGGCUGUUUUUUGUUUUUUCAGCCUGUUCCGGGCUGUUUUUUAGCUGUUUUUUGGCCGUUUUCGGGCUGUUUUUUGUGUAUUUUCCAGGCUGUUUUUUGGGUGUUUUCAGGCUGGUUUUGGGUAUUUUCCGGGCUGUUUUUUGGCUGUUUUUCGGCCGUUUUCGGUCUGUUUUUUGUUUUUUGGGCUGGUUUUUAGUUUUUUUGGCUGUUUUUUGUUUUUCAUGCUGUUUUUUGUUUUUCCGGCUGUUUUUCGUUUUUUCAGCCUGUUUCGUGCUGUUUUUUCGGGCUGUUUUUUGUUUUUUCGGGCUGUUUUUUGGGGUUUUUUGCUGUUUUUUUUUUCAUGCUGUUUUUUGGUUUUUCCGGCUGUUUUUGGUUUUUUUGGCUGUUUUUUGGUUUUUUUGGGUUGUUUUUUGGUUUUUUUGGCUGGUUUUUUUUUUUUUUUUUUUUUUUUUUUUUUUUUUUUUCCGGGCUGUUUUUUGGCUGGUUUUUGGCCGUUUCCGGGCUGUUUUUUGUGUAUUUUCCGGGCUGUUUUUUGGUUUUUCAGGCUGGUUUUGGGUAUUUUCCGGGCUGUUUUUUGGCUGGUUUUUGGCCGUUUCCGGGCUGUUUUUAGUAUAUUUUCCGGGCUGUUUUUUGGGUGUUUUCAGGCUGUUUUUUGGGUAUUUCCCGGGCUGUUUUUUGGCUGUUUUUUGGCUGUUUCCAGGCUGUUUUUUGUGUAUUUCCCGGGCUGUUUUUUGGCUGUUUUGAGGCUAGUUUUGGGUAUUUUCUGGGCUGUUUUUUGGGUAUUUUCCGGGCUGUUUUUUGGCUGUUUUGAGGCUGGUUUUGGGUAUUUUCCGGGCUGUUUUUUGGCUGUUUUUUGGCCGUUUUCGGGCUGUUUUUCCGGCUGUUUUUUGGCCGUUUUCGGGCUGUUUUUUGGGUAUUUCCCGGGCUGUUUUUUGACUGUUUUUUGGCCGUUUUCAGGCUGUUUUUUGGCUGUUUUCCGGGCUGUUUUUUGGCUGUUUUUUGGGUAUUUUCCGGGCUGUUUUUUGGCUGUUUUUUGGCCGUUUUCAGGCUGUUUUUUGGCUGUUUUCCGGGCUGUUUUUCCGGCUGUUUUUUGGCCGUUUCCGGGCUGUUUUUUGGGUAUUUCCCAGCUGUUUUUUGGCUGUUUUUUGGCUGUUUUUUGGCCGUUUUUUGGCCGUUUCCGGGCUGUUUUUUGGGUAUUUUCCGGGCUGUUUUUUGGCCGUUUUCAGGCUGUUUUUUGGCUGUUUUCCGGGCUGUUUUUUGGCUGUUUUUUGGCCGUUUUCAGGCUGUUUUUUGGGUAUUUCCCGGCUGUUUUUUGGCUGUUUUUUGGCCGUUUUCAGGCUGUUUUUUGGCUGUUUUCCGGGCUGUUUUUCCGGCUGUUUUUUGGCCGUUUUUGGGCUGUUUUUUGUGUAUUUCCCGGCUGUUUUUUGGCCGUUUUUUGGCCGUUUUCGGGCUGUUUUUUGGUUUUUGCUCACCAUGCGCAGGUAGUUCAUCAGGCUGGUGCCGUGGGGCCAGAUGCCGGGCGCGGCGCAGGCCAGCGGCCGCCCGCCGAUCUCCUGGCUGCGGUUCAGCUCCCGCACGGCGCCCACCACCACGUGCACGGCGUCGAAGAGCAGCGCGGCCGACAGCUGCGCCACCGGGGACACCUUUCCUCAACUUUUUACCACUUUUUGUCUUUUUUUUGUCCAUUUUUUUGUCAUUUUUUGUCUUUUUUUUGUCAAUUUUUUGGUCAUUUUUUGGCAAUUUUUUGUCAAUUUUUUUGUCAUUUUUUUGUCACUCUCCAUCCAUUUUUUAUCAUUUUUUUGUCUUUUUUUUGUCUUUUUUUUGUCAAUUUUUUUGUCAUUUUUUGUCAAUUUUUUUGUCAUUUUUUGUCACUCUUUGUCCAUUUUUUACCAUUUUUUGUCUUUUUUUUUGUCAAUUUUUUUGUCAUUUUUUGUCACUUUUUGUCCAUUCCACCACCACGUGCACGGCGUCGAAGAGCAGCGCGGCCGACAGCUGCGCCACCGGGGACACCUUUCCUCAACUUUUUACCACUUUUUGGCAAUUUUUUCUCAAUUUUUUGGUCAUUUUUUGUCACUUUUUGUCCAUUCCACCACCACGUGCACGGCGUCGAAGAGCAGCGCGGCCGACAGCUGCGCCACCGGGGACACCUUUUCUCAACUUUUUACCACUUUUUG